rfam:Dipodomys ordii contig_33073, whole genome shotgun sequence.
GGUGGCUCAGUGGUAAAGCGCUUGCCUUGCAUGCAUAAGGCCCUGGGUUCAAUUCCUCAGCACCA